AAAUCUUGACAUCCUCUGAACGCCAUAGAGAUAUGGUUUCCCUUCGGGGCAGAGUGACAGGUGGUGCAUGGUUGUCGUCAGCUCGUGUCGUGAGAUGUUGGGUUAAGUCCCGCAACGAGCGCAACCCUUAAUAUUAGUUGCCAUCAUUCAGUUGGGCACUCUAAUGUGACUGCCGGUGACAAACCGGAGGAAGGUGGGGAUGACGUCAAAUCAUCAUGCCCCUUAUGAUUUGGGCUACACACGUGCUACAAUGGGCAGGAACAAAGGGCAGCGAAACCGCGAGGUCAAGCGAAUCCCAUAAAACUGUUCUCAGUUCGGAUUGGAGUCUGCAACUCGACUCCAUGAAGCUGGAAUCGCUAGUAAUCGUAGGUCAGCAUACUACGGUGAAUACGUUCCCGGGUC
rnacentral:rRNA from 1 species